GUGGAUUCUUUACCAGCUGAGCCACAAUGGAAGCCCUCUUUAGGGGAGGGAGCUGGGAAAGCUUUAGGACCAUCAUAGCCAAGUUCGGGGCAGCCUAUUCACUGCUGGUGAGGGUUCAUCCUCUAUGAUCCAGAAGCUCCGUGGGGAAGAGGCAGGGCAGGACCUGCAUUGAUCUCGGAAAACUGAAGUCAGAAGUCAACACCUCCUCUGUCUAGGAUGAAGGGCAGGUGCUACCUUCUGGACGGGCCCACAUGGCAAGGAGAAUCCAGGUGCUGGUCCUUUAUAUAAGCACCCAGAGCCCUGUGAGCCCUGCAGCCAUCUCCCAGCAACACCUCCUUUGCCACCUCAGAACUCCCACCCAGAACGCCUCUAAGAGCUCAGGCUCAAUCAUAACAACCCCAAAAGUGACCCCAGCACACCUCAGAUCCUGCAAGUGCAAAUGCUUGUAAAGGUGCCUGGGGUUGGAGGGUGAAAGGCUGGAAGAUGAAAAACAUCUUUGCUACCUUCCUUUCCCAAAGACUCCUGAGUUACAGGCAGGGAGCCCUGAGGGAAAGGGGUGCUGCUCUGGCUCCAUGUCCUCGGGAGUUCCCUGCACUGAGUCCUUGAAAGUGAUCCCUUCUUCUGGGGGAAAAGGCAUUAUGGUGAUUUAACCCGGUCUCAACUGAAUUCCCUGGUCCUGAGCAUGUGGCUGCCUCCAGAGAAGUUAGGUUGUUACAUUGGGCCUAUCAUUUCCAUCUAUUGAGAUGAUUUCCAAAGCCAGCUCAGACUUGCUGACUUGUCCCUGGCUAGGACACACCUCUGCAGGAUCCAACCUUGUCUCUCUGUCCUCAUCUGCGGCCCAGGUGGUGAAGAUGCAGAGGCCAGGAUGUGGUUCUGUGGCUCACCACAGUGGCCUUCCCACCGCAUGGACCCAUCCACUAACACAUCUGAGAUGCUCAGCCACCUACAAACCACUUAAACCCACCCUCUUGCAGCCCACGUCCCUGCAUUCUCCCACGAGACCGACUUCAUGGGAGGCUCUGCCAACACAAGGAGAGACUUCAUCCAAAAGCUGGCUCUGCUCCUUACGACCUUGCAUUGCCCGCCACAGCCGUCAACCAGCGUCCCCACUGCCCAUCUCCACCACACACUCCAAGCCUCUGUGCCCCUCCGGUUUCCUUUCCUACAGUCCC
ensembl:lncRNA